rnacentral:rRNA from 1 species
ACGACCUACGGGUGAAAGGGGGCGCAAGCUCUUGCUAUUAGAUGAGCCUAAAUCAGAUUAGCUAGUUGGUGGGGUAAAGGCCCACCAAGGCGACGAUCUGUAACUGGUCUGAGAGGAUGAUCAGUCACACCGGAACUGAGACACGGUCCGGACUCCUACGGGAGGCAGCAGUGGGGAAUAUUGGACAAUGGGGGCAACCCUGAUCCAGCCAUGCCGCGUGUGUGAAGAAGGCCUUUUGGUUGUAAAGCACUUUAAGCAGGGAGGAGAGGCUAAUGGUUAAUACCCAUUAGAUUAGACGUUACCUGCAGAAUAAGCACCGGCUAACUCUGUGCCAGCAGCCGCGGUAAUACAGAGGGUGCGAGCGUUAAUCGGAAUUACUGGGCGUAAAGCGAGUGUAGGUGGCUCAUUAAGUCACAUGUGAAAUCCCCGGGCUUAACCUGGGAACUGCAUGUGAUACUGGUGGUGCUAGAAUAUGUGAGAGGGAAGUAGAAUUCCAGGUGUAGCGGUGAAAUGCGUAGAGAUCUGGAGGAAUACCGAUGGCGAAGGCAGCUUCCUGGCAUAAUAUUGACACUGAGAUUCGAAAGCGUGGGUAGCAAACAGGAUUAGAUACCCUGGUAGUCCACGCCGUAAACGAUGUCUACUAGCCGUUGGGGUCCUUGAGACUUUAGUGGCGCAGUUAACGCGAUAAGUAGACCGCCUGGGGAGUACGGCCGCAAGGUUAAAACUCAAAUGAAUUGACGGGGGCCCGCACAAGCGGUGGAGCAUGUGGUUUAAUUCGAUGCAACGCGAAGAACCUUACCUGGUCUUGACAUAGUGAGAAUCUCUCAGAGAUGAGAGAGUGCCUUCGGGAACUCACAUACAGGUGCUGCAUGGCUGUCGUCAGCUCGUGUCGUGAGAUGUUGGGUUAAGUCCCGCAACGAGCGCAACCCUUUUCCUUAUUUGCCAGCGGGUUAAGCCGGGAACUUUAAGGAUACUGCCAGUGACAAACUGGAGGAAGGCGGGGACGACGUCAAGUCAUCAUGGCCCUUACGACCAGGGCUACACACGUGCUACAAUGGUAGGUACAGAGGGUUGCUACACAGCGAUGUGAUGCUAAUCUCAAAAAGCCUAUCGUAGUCCGGAUUGGAGUCUGCAACUCGACUCC